AAAUGCUUAGAUAUCACGAAGNACUCCGAUUGCGAAGGCAGCUUGCUGGACUGUAACUGACGCUGAGGCACGAAAGCGUGGGGAUCAANCAGGAUUAGAUACCCUGGUAGUCCACGCCGUAAACGAUGAAUGCUAGCUGUUAGCGAUAUACUGUUAGCGGCACAGAGAAAUCGUUAAGCAUUCCACCUGGGGAGUACGCCGGCAACGGUGAAACUCAAAGGAAUUGACGGGGGCCCGCACAAGCGGAGGAACAUGUGGUUUAAUUCGAUGAUACGCGAGGAACCUUACCUGGGCUUAAAUUGCAGUGGAAUAACGUGGAAACAUGUUAGCCUUCGGGCCGCUGUGAAGGUGCUGCAUGGUUGUCGUCAGCUCGUGCCGUGAGGUGUCGGCUUAAGUGCCAUAACGAGCGCAACCCUCAUCGAUAGUUACUAACAGGUUAAGCUGAGGACUCUAUCGAGACUGCCGACGUAAGUCGUGAGGAAGGUGGGGAUGACGUCAAAUCAGCACGGCCCUUACGUCCAGGGCUACACACGUGUUACAAUGGGGGGUACAAAGGGCAGCUACCUGGCGACAGGAUGCUAAUCUCAAAAACCUCUCUCAGUUCGGAUUGGAGUCUGCAACCCGACUCCAUGAAGCUGGAUUCGCUAGUAAUCGCGCAUCAGCCACGGCGCGGUGAAUACGUUCCCGGGCCUUGUACACACCGCCCGUCAAGCCAUGGGAGCCGGGGGGACCUGAAGUAUGCAACCGUAAGGAGCGUCCUAGGGUAAAACUGGUGACUGGGGCU
rnacentral:rRNA from 1 species